rnacentral:rRNA from 1 species
UACGUAGGGGGCAAGCGUUGUCCGGAUUUAUUGGGCGUAAAGAGCGUGUAGGCGGCCAGGUAGGUCCGUUGUGAAAACUCGAGGCUUAACCUCUAGACGUCGAUGGAAACCGUCUGGCUAGAGUCCGGAAGAGGAGAAUGGAAUCCUGGUGUAGCGGUGAAAUGCGCAGAUAUCAGGAAGAACACCCGUGGCUAAGGCGGUUCUCUAGUACGGUACUGACGCUGAGACGCGAAAGCGUGGGGAGCGAACAGG